CUGCAGCCAGAUAAGCUCCCGUGAUCUCUCCUCAUGAGGCAUUGUGUGCUACAGCUGCAAACAGCAGCUUCCUCUAUAGUGUCUGCAAGACAUAGUUCAUAGGAGUAACCCUAAGGGACUCCUGAAGAUAGCA
rfam:Erinaceus europaeus unplaced genomic scaffold scaffold00069, whole genome shotgun sequence